AGAAGGUCUCACUUAAAAAUGACUGUAGUGGAUAAACGCCAUCCCCCAAAAAGACACUGUUCUACUAGACCUAAGCCUAGGUAGCUGUGAAUGUGACCUUCUUUGGAAAUAGUCUUUACAGUUGUAAUCAAAUGAAGAUGCAGUCAUUGGCCCCAAAUCCAAUGACUGGUGUUUUGUUUAUAAACAAAUACCUGAGACUGGGUAAUUUAUAAGAAAACAGGUUUAAUUGGCUCACAGUUC
rnacentral:lncRNA from 1 species